CUAAUGCCGCUGGGUUAGGGUCUCCCUGACCGAGCUGGUCUCGGCAAGACAGACUCUGGAAACAUGGCUAAGACAGAAGGUAAAUGUAGUGGAUUAAGGAGAGAACUGGUGUGGCUUGGUCCUAGAUUCUUGUGUCCAAAACUCUAUACAAAUUAGCUGGAAAAUGACUUCCCUCCCCAAAAAGAAACAACUACAUCAACAAAAACCACAAACAGGAAUCUCCUUGGGAGAGAUUAGUCCUCUACACAUCAAAUAAGGGGAAACCAAGAUCCAUUAAAAAUGCAUCUGCCAGUACAGUAAUUGGUUGACAUUAGACAUAUAUUUCAUUUUGGGUUAGUGAUAACAUACUUUACUAAUUUGGCACCAAUGAAUGUUACCUAAAGAUGUAAUAAUUUAAACCAAAGAAAUCAACAUUAUAUUUCCACUAAAAUCAAUGUCAUGGAAAUAUACUUGGCUGUUUUAACUAUUUUCCUAUGAAUAUGUGGAUUCCAUGCAGGACUCUAUAUGGUAUUUUCACUCUCUCUAACACAUCUUUCUUUUAUAUAUCUAGAUAUCAUACAAAGUAUGGAUCUUGCAAACCAACAUUUUUUUGCCCCAUGACUGUAUCAGAAACAAAUGUACAUAAUGUAUAUUUCUUAUGGUACACUGUUCCAGUAAUGUUUCCCAAUGACAAGUCUCCCUGUAUCCAAGACCUCAUGUAAUGUGCUCUGACGAUGAACUGGGCUUUGCCUUUUGACUUGCGUUGGCCAAUGGGACACAGGCAAAUGUCAUGCAAAUACAGAUUCAAAAAGUAUUUGCCUAAUGGUGCUUGUCUUCUUGGACACAGUCAAAUUGUGAAGAAUCUUGGGGCUACCUGCUGGAAACACAGUGCCUAACAGAGAGCCAGCACAAAUCACAAGACAUGUGAGUAAAGCCAUCUUAAGCCAACCAGCCUCAGUCAAGGCACCAGGUGACUCAACUGUCACUCGUGAUCCAAGCAACACUAACAUAGAAUAUGAACUGCCCAGAUGAACCCACCACAAAAUACAGAUCCAUAGAAGCUUGAACAAAGAAAAUGGUGGUGGUUUUUUAAGCCACUAAGGUCUGAUUACUUUCUUAUAAAGCAAAUGCUAACUGAUACAUCUAAGCCGCCAGAACUUGAUAUAUAUCUAAGAAAAUUAUGUGGGGAAGAAAGUUUUAAUGUGUAUGUCAAAUACAAUCAACACCACUUUGGAAGCACACAAAGAAAUUUUGAAAAUCACAAUGAAUAUCAAAUGGAUGGAAUUCAGUGAGGUGAUUCCAGCUCUUCAUAUAGCUGCUGCCUCACAGAAUUAGGAUGAGUAGUGGGAAGAACUGAGUGUGGGAAUGAAGCAGAUGGGACAGAGUCCAAGAACCCAAAAGCAAGGAGGAAGAGACAGUACCGGGGCAUGAAUAGCCUUGGAGGGUUCCUGACGCCAGCCUGCAGUUCCUGGAGCUCCAGCACCUCAUCCACAACAUUUGCGAAUGGACAAGGCAGGAGUGAGGAAGAAAGGUUUCAUCUUCAGAGAAGAGGUAUCAGUAGUGUAGGGGUGAAGGUGAUGGAAGAAACGGUUGUGGAACAAAAGGAAUAGAAAGCUCCCGGCAAGGAUGGAGGCAGCACUGUUUGUUGGACAACUGAAUUGGCCCAGGUGGCCCCUGCACUCUCAGGUACCUGAGACUCCACCCGCCUUGCCUUACUGUCCACAUUUACUCAUGGUGACAACCCCCGCCCCCAAAUUUCAUUUGAAUGACAUGCGCAGGUGCAUUUGCACUGAGAUCUUUAUUCUAGGCCUGGGGCCUUGGAGCAGUGGGCAAUUGCAACACAGGACAGAGAAGAGAGUAUUGUUUGUGUCCCUGUGAUCAGACACAUGCACACACUACACACACACACACACACACACACACACACACACACACAAGGACACGGGCACAGACAUGGGUAGUAAUGAGACCUAUUAAGUAUUUUCCCCUCCAGUAGGCAGAUGUGCAUGAUACAUAAAUUACAAAUAAGAGGAACCUUGUGAACACAUUUCAAAGGCAAGAUGAGUGAAUAUCGGUGACUUGUGGUUUUCAUGUAUUUUAUAAUUCAGUUCUUGGUAUAAAAUAUAUUUUAUAUUCCAACCUCGUAUACACCUAUACACUCUUGAAAAAUCGAAAGAAGAGUUUCACUGAAGAAAACUUAAUUUCACAAGGUGUGAUACUCUCUGAUGUUUUAUUUUACAUCAUAUACUAGUUCAAUUAAAAAAUAAAUUCAUUAAGCUCAUCA
rnacentral:lncRNA from 1 species